AUGUUAAUUGUGUCUUUUCCCAUGAUAAAAACUGAGAUCCAUGGAUGCCCUGGCUGGGGAGGUGUGACUGGGGAAUGUGCAGGGUGCGUGGCAGAGGCUCUGAGGGUUUAUCCAGUCUGGAAUAAAGGAUUUCAGUUUGGUGGAGCUGCUUGGGGCAGGCCUGGUGUGGACGGUGCCCUGGCAGUGCCCAGGCCAGAGCAGCAGCUGUGGGGGGGUUUUGUUGGGGCUGCAGAGCUCACAGGAGCUGCCAGCACCUGUGCAUUGCUCCCAGCACCUCUGCAUUGCUCCCAGCACCUCUGCAGCACUCACUGCAUUGCCCCCAGCACCUCUGCAGCACUCACUGCAUUGCUCCCAGCACCUCUGCAUUGCUCCCAGCACCUCUGCAGCACUCACUGCAUUGCUCCCAGCACCUGUGCAUUGCUCUCACUGCUCUGCAGCACUCACUGCAUGCUCCCAGCAUCUCUGCAUUGCUCCCAGCACCUCUGCAGCACUCACUGCAUGCUCCCAGCACCUGUGCAUUGCUCCCAACACCUCUGCAGCACUCACUGCAUUGCUCCCAGCACCUGUGCAUUGCUCCCAGCACCUCUGCAGCACUCACUGCAUUGCUCCCAGCACCUCUGCAUUGCUCUCACUGCUCUGCAGCACUCACUGCAUGCUCCCAGCAUCUCUGCAUUGCUCUCACUGCUCUGCAGCACUCACUGCAUUGCCCCAGCACCUCUGCAGCACUCACUGCAUGCUCCCAGCACCUCUGCAUUGCUCCCAGCACCUCUACAGCACUCACUGCAUUGCUCCCAGCACCUUUACAGCACUCACUGCACGCUCCCAGCACCUCUGCAUUGCUCCCAGCACCUCUGCAGCACUCACUGCAUGCUCCCAGCACCUGUGCAUUGCUCCCAGCACCUCUGCAUUGCUCCCAGCACCUCUGCAGCACUCACUGCAUUGCUCUCACUGCUCUGCAGCACUCACUGCUCUGCAGCACUGACUGCAUGCAGAAGUUGGAGUUUUUCAGAGCAGUGA
rnacentral:lncRNA from 1 species